AACCAUAUGUGUCAUGUUAAGACAUAUGUGUCAUGCCACGCUUAAACAAAAAUUAUUCCACAUGCAACGGGACGGAGUACUUCAGUACAACCCUAAUCCCAACUCUAACAUCUCGAUUUAUUUCAACACUUAUGUCUCAACUAACCUCAACUCUAACAUCUCAAACCUCUCAUUCCAAUAGGACUGGCGCCCAGAGAGCAAAGCUCGACCAAGGACUUUACCUCUAGUCUGGUCACUUAACUCUCAGCCUUAGCCUUUCGGCUCUCUUAUCCAAUAAGACUGGCGCCCAGAGAGCAUAGCUCGACCAGGGACCUUACCUCCAGUCUGGUCACUUAAAUUUCUAAAUAAGCCGGCGCCCAGAGAGCAAUGCUCGACCAGGGACCUUUACUCCGGCAACCACACUCUACUAAGCCCAGAGAGCGAUGCUCGACCAGGGCAAGUCCUAAUCUUUCUUUCUUAAAUUUUUUUUUUACCUCUUUA
rnacentral:lncRNA from 1 species